GCGCGGUGGUCCCACCUGACCCCAUGCCGAACUCAGAAGUGAAACGCCGUAGCGCCGAUGGUAGUGUGGGGUCUCCCCAUGCGAGAGUAGGG
rnacentral:rRNA from 1 species